AUCACUACACUAUUUCACCUUCCCCUCCAACACAUUAUUAAUGCAGAAUUUUUUUUCUAAAAAUUGCAGAUUUCUUUUUGUAGCAAAUAUGAUUUUUCAAAACCAGCAAACUUUUUCUCUUCAACCCUCUACAACAUAUCCCCUUCAUUACGGGUUCAAUCUAUAUUUUUCAAAGGCUGCACAACUUCAACAGUAAACACUCUCCAACCCAUAGAACAAUUUCAACCUUCAUAAUUUCCAUUGUCUGAGGAAUCCACCUAUAAAUUCAUAGCUCACUCCACUCUAGCAAGAACCACACCAAUGCAGAAAAAGGUAAAUAAACUUCACUUCUUAUGAAAUUCUUACAAACAGCCAAGUUCAUUCAAUAACUUUGUUCUUGAAUCAUUCUAGCAGCCGACAUAAAACCAAUCAAACUCCAGAACAACAACGAGAAUUAGAAAACUUUCUUCAAGGUUUCACAUUCUAUAACUCAUUAGCUUCAUCAUUCAUAUAUAGAAUUAUUUUCAUGAUAUUAAAAACGAACAGAGGACUUAGAAUAUACGUAUAUAAAUGUAGUUUAGUUAGGAACUCUAUAUCAUUGAACUAGAAUUUAGAAAAAACCAAGUUUUGAUUCCAAAAUCAAGUCUUUACAACAGUUGAGUUUUCUGAAAACUAUUUCAAAUCUACAAACCUACCGAGUGAUAAAACGAGAGGAAAGAUACGGUGGACUGCCGAAGCCCUGCUGUCCGGGACGGCGGCUCCGGGAGAGGCGGCUGCCGGGUUCUUGCUGCCAACAGCAGCGGCCGACGGCGGCGCUCCUCCAGCGAGCUGCUGGCCGUUGAUCUCAGGCAGCAGCAGCGGCGACUCCGGGCGAGCAGCAGCAGCUCCAGGCGGCGAUCUCGACUCCCGGCGAAGCAGCAGCAGCUCCAGCGGCGGCUUCAGUGCAACUGCCGGCGGAGCAGCGCGGCGGCGCGACGCCGGAAUCAAGAACGAGAGCGAGAGAGGGAUGGGAUGGGUGUGUGCGUUUCAGGGAUGAAGGAGAAGAGAGAGUUGGAGGGAAGGGAGGAGCAGGACGACGGCGGUACGCCGGACCUUCGCCGGUCUCAGGCGGCGGCGGAAAAAACAAGGGGAGGGAGAGAAGGGAGCCUCCUGUUGUGUGUGCGUGAGUUUCUGAAUUGAGAGAGAGAGAGGAUGCGUNGGUGUGUGCGUUUCAGGGAUGAAGGAGAAGAGAGAGUUGGAGGGAAGGAGGAGCAGGACGACGGCGGUACGCCGGACCUUCGCCGGUCUCAGGCGGCGGCGGAAAAAACAAGGGGAGGGAGAGAAGGGAGCCUCCUGUUGUGUGUGCGUGAGUUUCUGAAUUGAGAGAGAGAGAGGAUGCGUGAAGAAGGGUUUCU
rnacentral:lncRNA from 1 species